AGAGUUUGAUCCUGGCUCAGGACGAACGCUGGCGGCGUGCCUAACACAUGCAAGUCGAGCGGAGAUUUCUUUGGCACUGAGUACUCUAGUGAUGACGCAAACAGCGGCGGACGGGUGAGUAACACGUGGGCAACCUGCCUCGAAGUGGGGGAUAACACCGAGAAAUCGGUGCUAAUACCGCAUAACAUACAGACAUCACCUGAUGACUGUAUCAAAGGAGAAAUCCGCUUUGAGAUGGGCCCGCGGCUGAUUAGCUAGUUGGUGAGGUAAUGGCUCACCAAGGCGACGAUCAGUAGCCGACCUGAGAGGGUGAACGGCCACACUGGAACUGAGACACGGUCCAGACUCCUACGGGAGGCAGCAGUGGGGAAUAUUGCACAAUGGGCGCAAGCCUGAUGCAGCAACGCCGCGUGAGUGAUGAAGGCCUUCGGGUCGUAAAACUCUGUCCUAAGGGAAGAAGAAGUGACGGUACCUUAGGAGGAAGCCCCGGCUAACUACGUGCCAGCAGCCGCGGUAAUACGUAGGGGGCAAGCGUUAUCCGGAAUCACUGGGCGUAAAGGGUGCGUAGGCGGCUGAUCAAGCCAGGGGUGAAAGGCAAUAGCUUAACUAUUGUGAGCCUUUGGAACUGGUCAGCUUGAGUGCAGGAGAGGAAAGCGGAAUUCCUAGUGUAGCGGUGAAAUGCGUAGAUAUUAGGAGGAACACCCGUGGCGAAGGCGGCUUUCUGGACUGUAACUGACGCUGAGGCACGAAAGCGUGGGGAGCAAACAGGAUUAGAUACCCUGGUAGUCCACGCUGUAAACGAUGAAUACUAGGUGUCGGGGGUCAAAGCCCGGUGCCGCAGCUAACGCAUUAAGUAUUCCGCCUGGGGAGUACGGUCGCAAGAUUGAAACUCAAAGGAAUUGACGGGGGCCCGCACAAGCAGCGGAGCAUGUGGUUUAAUUCGAAGCAACGCGAAGAACCUUACCAGGUCUUGACAUCCCUCUGACCGGUCCGUAACGGGACCUUCCCUUCGGGACAGAGGAGACAGGUGGUGCAUGGUUGUCGUCAGCUCGUGUCGUGAGAUGUUGGGUUAAGUCCCGCAACGAGCGCAACCCUUGCCUUUAGUUGCCAGCACAUAAUGGUGGGCACUCUAAAGAGACUGCCGGUGUCAAACCGGAGGAAGGUGGGGAUGACGUCAAGUCCUCAUGGCCUUUAUGACCAGGGCUACACACGUACUACAAUGGCCGGUACAAAGGGCAGCAACACAGCGAUGUGAAGCCAAUCCCAUAAAGCCGGUCUCAGUCCGGAUUGGAGUCUGCAACUCGACUCCAUGAAGUUGGAAUCGCUAGUAAUCGCGGAUCAGCACGCCACGGUGAAUACGUUCCCGGGCCUUGUACACACCGCCCGUCACACCAUGGAAGUUGGGGGGACCCGAAGCCAGUGAUCCAACCGUAAGGAGGAAGCUGUCGAAGGUAAAACCAAUGACUGGGGUGAAGUCGUAACAAGGUAACC
rnacentral:rRNA from 1 species